rnacentral:rRNA from 1 species
UUCCGGUUGAUCCUGCCGGACCCGACUGCUAUCAGAGUGAGAUUAAGCCAUGCGAGUUAACGUAGCAAUACGUGGCGCACGGCUCAGUAACACGUAGUCAACAUGCCCAGAGGACGUGGAUAACCUCGGGAAACUGAGUCUAAACCGCGAUAAGUGAGGAUUUCUGGAGUGGUUCCUGACUAAAAUCUAUAUGGCCUCUGGAUUGGACUGCGGCCGAUCAGGCUGUUGGUGAGGUAAUGGCCCACCAAACCUGUAACCGGUACGGGCUUUGAGAGAAGGAGCCCGGAGAUGGACACUGAGACAAGGGUCCAGGUCCUACGGGGCGCAGCAGGCGCGAAACCUUCGCAAUGCGCGAAAGCGUGACGAGGUUAGUCCGAGUGGCUCCCGCUGAGGGAGUCUUUUGCUGGCUGUAAAAAGGCUGGAGAAUAAGGGGAGGGCAAGCCUGGUGUCAGCCGCCGCGGUAAUACCAGCUCCUCGAGUGGUCGGGGCGAUUAUUGGGCCUAAAGCAUCCGUAGCCGGUUCAGUAGGUCUUCUGCUAAAUCCAGUCGCUUAACGAUUGGCAUACAGGAGAUACCGCUGACUAGGAGGCGGGAGAGGUGGACGGUACUCCACGGGUAGGGGUAAAAUCCUUUGAUCCGUGGAAGACCACCAGUGGCGAAGGCGGUCCACCAGAACGCGCUCGACGGUGAGGGAUGAAAGCUGGGGGAGCGAACCGGAUUAGAUACCCGGGUAGUCCCAG